rnacentral:rRNA from 1 species
UACGAAGGGGGCUAGCGUUGCUCGGAAUCACUGGGCGUAAAGCGCACGUAGGCGGCUUGUUAAGUCAGGGGUGAAAUCCUGGAGCUCAACUCCAGAACUGCCUUUGAUACUGGCGAGCUCGAGUCCGGGAGAGGUGAGUGGAACUGCGAGUGUAGAGGUGAAAUUCGUAGAUAUUCGCAAGAACACCAGUGGCGAAGGCGGCUCACUGGCCCGGUACUGACGCUGAGGUGCGAAAGCGUGGGGAGCAAACAGG